rnacentral:rRNA from 1 species
UACAGAGGGAGCUAGCGUUGUUCGGAAUUACUGGGCGUAAAGCGCACGUAGGCGGCUUUGUAAGUUAGGGGUGAAAGCCCGGGGCUCAACUCCGGAAUUGCCUUUAAGACUGCAUCGCUUGAAUCCGGGAGAGGUGAGUGGAAUUCCGAGUGUAGAGGUGAAAUUCGUAGAUAUUCGGAAGAACACCAGUGGCGAAGGCGGCUCACUGGACCGGUAUUGACGCUGAGGUGCGAAAGCGUGGGGAGCAAACAGG